GCCACUGAGAUAAGAGAAGCAGUAGCGUAGGCUUUGAAGAUUUGCUGUCUGCUAGAAUAACUGUGGACUCUGGGAUUUGCUGAGUCUUCAUCUUCGUUGGCCUAGGGAUAUGUUACCCAGGACUCUAAAGUGAGGAUAGACCUUGAGUCAGAACAGAAUGUGAAUGACGUGUGUGUCUCAUUAGUCAAGGGUCAAGAGCAUGACUAAGACCUAAGAGAAAGCCUGAACUCUAAUCUGGCCUCUGGGAGACUCUGGAUGCAAGCUUCCAGAGCUACACGUGGAUUCUGGAUUCUCAUUUGCAGGAGAUUGGAGCAGCACUGAGGAACUAUUGUGAUAAAGCAUUUUGACUUGUUUUUCACCCAACUGAGGAUGAAUUUGCACUCUUUUGCCUGUGACCUCUCUCCUGGGGUGUGUCCUCCAUGACCAAAUCCACACCUUGAGAAAGAAGCAGCUUAGGCACUGUUGCCUUUGAGGCAGGAGAAGGGCUUCUUACAUGCUCUGGAGCGACGCUGGGAUGUAAAGUAUUUGGAGAACAUUGAUGGCCUAAUAGCUUGGUGAAAUGAGAAACUUCAUGAAAGCACUUCACUAGAUGAAAAUUGCUAUACAAAUUACGUCCUGAUUAUGUGCACUGAACAAAAGAUUUCUUGAACAGAAACUGUGGUGCAGGUGGAGAUAAAGAAAUACGUC
rnacentral:lncRNA from 1 species